rnacentral:rRNA from 1 species
UACGUAGGGGGCAAGCGUUGUCCGGAAUCAUUGGGCGUAAAGAGCGUGUAGGCGGCCAAGCAGGUCCGUUGUGAAAACUGGAGGCUUAACCUCCAGACGUCGACGGAAACCGCGUGGCUAGAGUCCGGAAGAGGAGAGUGGAAUUCCUGGUGUAGCGGUGAAAUGCGCAGAUAUCAGGAAGAACACCAAUGGCGAAGGCAAUCCCCUGGGCCUGCACUGACGCUCAUGCACGAAAGCGUGGGGAGCAAACAGG